rnacentral:lncRNA from 1 species
UGUAGGUUNGUCCGCGGGUACUGGGUUUAAUGGGUUUAACUCAUCCCCUUUCUUAAACGUCAAGUCGGCAUCGCCGAUGUAACGCGGGCACAGAAAUGCUGCAACUGGCCGCAUCAUUCCAUCCCAGCCUUAUUCAACCUCGCCUCUCACCGGAAUUCCAUCGCCGACACUCUCUCCAGCAAACUUCAAACGCAAAAGAAUUAACCCUACUCCACGCUCAACCCAUUUUCACUUCAACAACCCUUUCCAACAACAAUCAGAGCAGUAUCUAUAACAAUGAAAAACUCGUUAAGAAGGCUCUCUUUUCUUACAAUACCAUUAUCAAAUGCUUCCUUCAAAACCGUCGCUCUCAGGAUGCUCUUGUGGUUUUUGUGGAUUUGCUUUGUUGUCCGGGGAUGUUGCCAGACGAGUUCACGUUACCGUGUGUGAUCAAGGCGUGUGCGAAUCUAAGGACUAUUAAGGAAGGGAAAAUGAUUCAUGGGUUGGCGUUGAAACUCGGUUUUGGGUCUGGUUCGGGUGUUCAUGUGGAGAGUAGUUUGGUGAGUUUGUAUUCAAAAUGUGGUGAUAUUGAUUCUGCACGGAAAGUUUUUGAUAAAAUGCUUGUGAAGGAUUUGGUUUCAUGGAAUGUGUUGUUGGAUGGUUACGUAAAGUGUGGUGGGGAGAAUAUUGAGGUUAUUCUGAGACUGUUUGAUGAGAUGCCCGAAAAGGAUGCCUUCUCAUGUACUGUGUUGAUUGAUGGGUUGGCCAAGAGUGGAAGAGUUGACGAAGCAAGAGAGGUGUUUGAUAGUAUGUUGGAUAAGAAUGUGGCUUCAUGGAAUGCAAUGAUUUAUGGGUAUAUGAAGUAUGGAAACUAUAAACUCGCAGGUGAUUUGUUUGAUAGAAUGGACGAGAGAAAUAUAAUCACUUGGAAUUCGAUAAUUUCUGGGUAUGAAUUAAAUGGUAAGUUUCUGGAAGCUCUGCGAAUGUUUCAGGUGAUGUUGGAUAAGGGCCUCAAGGCUAAUGAUGUGACGAUAGUUAGUGUACUUUCUGCAAUUUCGAAGUUGGCUUCGCUUAGUAAAGGUAGGUGGGUGCAUUCGUAUAUGUCAAAAGCUGGGUAUAGAUUAGAUGGUGUACUUGGUAUAUCUUUGAUAGAAAUGUACUCCAAGUGUGGGAGCAUUGAGAGUGCUUUGAUGGUUUUUCGAGGAAUAUCCAAGAAGAAGCUGGGGCAUUGGACAGCCAUUAUUGUAGGAUUGGGGAUGCAUGGUAUGGCUCCUGAUGCAACUGACUUGUUUCUUGAAAUGCAAAGGAAUGGAAUUAAGCCUAAUGCCAUUACAUUUGUUGGAGUCUUGAAUGCUUGUAGUCAUGUGGGAAUGGUGGAUGAUGGUCGGCGUUAUUUUUCUAUGAUGAAAAAUGAGUAUGGAAUAGAACAAACUGUUGAGCACUAUGGUUGCUUGGUGGACAUUCUUUGUCGAGCUGGUCAUCUUGAUGAGGCAAAGAGUACCAUUGAAAAGAUGCCUAUGAAGCCAAGCAAGAUAAUAUGGAUGACUUUACUUAGCAGUGCAAGAAAUUAUAGAAACAUUGAUAUUGGUGAAUAUGCAGCAAAGAACUUGAUCGAGUUAGCUCCUGAAACUGUUCAGUGCUAUGUACUCCUUUCUAAUAUGUAUGCUGUUGCAGGACAGUGGGAAAAAGUUUCGCUGGUUAGAGAAAUGAUGAAGAGGAGAGGGUUUAAGAAAGAACCAGGGUGUAGUUCAAUUGAACACAAGGGUGUGCUUCAUGAAUUCAUGGUAGGAGACAAAUCCCAUCCUCAAUCUGAAUUGAUAUAUUCGAAAUUGAGUGAGAUGAAGAAUAAGUUGAGACUAGCGGGACAUGUUCCUGAUACGACUCAAGUAUUAUUAUUUGUUGAAGGGGAGAAAGAGAAACAAGCUGAACUGGAAAACCAUAGUGAGAGGUUGGCUAUCGCAUUCGGCCUUAUAAACGUUGACCGAAAAAAUCACAUUCGUGUGGUGAAGAACCUUAGAGUUUGUAACGACUGCCAUUCUGUGAUGAAGUUUCUGUCCAAGAUCUAUGAACGUGUAAUUAUUGUGAGAGAUAAUAGCAGGUUCCAUCAUUUCAAAAAUGGGUCAUGUUCAUGCAACGACUAUUGGUGAUUGAGAAUUAUGCUGUCUCACAUUAAGGUCUUGUUUCAGUUUGUUCAACUAAUAACAUGAUGGAGACCCAACCAUCACUCCCAAAAGCACAGGUUUGAGGGUGAUUGAAUCUCACAACUAUUAGGCCCUAACAAUACCCAAUGGCCCCAAAUCUGACGGCCACAGCGGCCCAAUCCAUGACCUUUGCUUUACGUGGCCGGCCAUUAUUUGACUGCCGGUAUUUGGCACUUAGUUUUGGUCGCCCCUUCCGGAAUUCGAACUUGUGGCUUGGGUCUACUCUGAUACCAAUUGAUGGAGACCCAACCAUCUCUCCCAAAAGCCCAGGCUUGAGGGUGAUUGAAUUCCACAACUAUUAGAUCCUAACAUGACAUUAGGAUUGUGUUUUAGCUAUACCCCCAAUUAGGAGAGCUAGUCUUUUGGCUGUACGCAAAAUCUUCACAUGGUGGAUGUAUGUCCUGAGAUACGGUCCAGUACAUUAUGCAAUUUCUCAGACCUUGGAGGAUUCAUGCUUGCGCCUUUUUCGUCCUUACAGCAUAACCAGUGUAAUUUUCUUUUUGUUGCCAUAUGCUUUUUAUUUUUAUAUGUCACCUACACUACAAUUCCUUGUGCUGUCUGCUAGUCAUUUAUUUACUUCACUUUUUCUUUUCUGUGGAUGCAUGCCCUCAUUACUAGAAAUGCGAGGUCUUUUAUUCUGUUUUCAAACAUUAAGAGUCAUAAUCAAUCCUAUUUCAGGCCUCAAUUUUUAUUUGAUAGAAUUAUUAAUCUUAAUGUCAUGGUAAUUGCUUUGUCAAUUAGCAUCUAUAUCUCAUGUGCUUCCUGUACAUGGCAGGCACAUGGUUUCAUGUACUGAUUAUCAUAUAUGGAGAUUGCUUACAGAACUAUAAAUUUGUGUUCCAUACAGUGAAGUUCACUGAAACAUGAUCUUGGAGUGCACAAUCGGUGUCAUUAUUGGAAACCUUGACUGAAAAAUCUUGUCAUCUUAUUAAUAUGGUUAAAACUUAAAUACUUCAUCAAUUGUCAAUUAGUGAAAAUGAACAGUUCAAAAUUUAAAAUAUGAGCUGGUGCAUGGGAAUUAUAGCUUACUAUCAAAGACUUCCACUCCAUUAGACCCAGGAUAUUGAGCCCUGUUUGGGCCCCGUUUUUGGAGAAUGGAUUUUGUAAAAAGUGUUUUUUUUUUUUUUAAAAUGAGUUUGGGUAAAAAUGAGUUUUAAAGAAUGGGGCUCAAAUGGGUGCUGAUAAUUUUUAAUUAAUCAAUUUGCUUUCUUGCCAUCAGAUUGCGCAAGAGAGGCAAAUAUUUCCAAAAAGGGAAAGGACACAUCUAAUUCGUACAUUAGAAGUACUAGACAUGGAUGAUAUACAAUCAUAUUAUAAUGAAACAUAAAGUUUCCGAGCAAUUGCUUCGAAAUAUAAUGAGUUUUGAUGCACAUUGAUGUUUAUUGAACUUGUUAAAUUCAUUCCUUUUGCCAUAUUAUGUCUUGGAAUGAUUGUUAUUUGCUUAUAUUCAUAUUAUUAGGUGAUGAAUUUGGUCAGUAAUUCUCUCUAUUGUGUGCCUUGGCAGUUUUGAAUUCAAUUAUUUCAAGAACUUCCAUGUCAUGUCGCCUGCACCUUUUCCAUUGUAGCAUGUAUUGUUGGAGUGAUUAUCGUUCUUUUUCUUGUUCUGACACUGACCAAGCAGCCUCUAACUUUGUCUCACUUUCACAUGACAAUCUUCUAUGAAAUAAAUGAAUGCAUUUUAUGGAGUCCGUUACUGUUUGCAUGCUGGGGAAAAAAGAAGAUGCAUCCUUAUGGUUAUAGUGCUAUGUUAUCACAUAAUCCAAAAAUGUUGUCAAUCUUCCUUACUGCAAAUUUCACUAAUUGUGAACAAAAAUGCAUGAGUCCAUUGGUCUUCAUUGCAGGUGUCAUUUUACUGAUUUCAGUUGAGACCCAUAUAUUAGGGAGGAUGAGCUUUUUUAGAAUGAGGGAAGGAAAGAUAGAAGCCUAUUAAUACUCCUGAUAAUGACGUUAUUCAAGAUGACUCCUAUGAGGUAAGUGACUUUGUUAACCCCAAUUGUUCCAUAUUUACAUUUAUUGCACUUUGCAAGAGCUAAGUGUUUGGGAAGAUUGCCCAUGAUAAUAAAAAUAUUAAAACUUGGACAAAGUAUUCACUUAAGAAAUAAUGUGGCUCUACUAUAAAAUAACAACAAUGGAUUACAAGAUAAGUUUCAAAUAUGAGUUACAAAGUAUCUCAAACUUUCUAUUUCUCUCAAAAACAAACUUUUAUCUUUCUCAAAUCCUCACUUAGUGCUCAAUUGUUUUUGGCACUCACUUAUUAAACACAUAUAUAGUAUGAACACAUCCUGAGGCCUAUUUAUAGAUUUUUUAAGUUAGUUUGCCACUUGACAAUACAACUUGCAUUUCUCAUUUAGAAGAUUAAAAAUCAAACAUGAAUUUGACCAAUCAAUAAGCAUUUUUCCAUAAACAUCUGCCUAUCAUGUAUAAAAACAUUGUAACACUCUUUAUAGAACUCUGCCUAUCAUAUCCAUCUGCAAUGAGUGCAUAUUUUUCAUUAUUUUACAGAAUUCGUUAUUUAAUCUCUGCAAGAAAACUAAAAAUAGGGUCAACAAAGUUUUGGUCUGAAGCAACACGACACUAAAGAAUUGUCCAGGUUCUUCAAAAAAUUGGAUGACCUGUCUCAAUUAAAGCUCUGUUGGUUCUUUAUUAAAUUUUUUUCCUUAAUGAAUGAUUAUGAUUAACUUGAUAUACAUAUCAUAAAUUUAUCUGUAUAAAUCAAAUUUGAGUUUUUGAAUGAUUAUGACUUAGUUUUUCGCUGUAUUAUACUAAAAAGUGUUCACUUAAUAGUUUUUCUGAGCUUCUCUAGUCUUUUUCGCCUUUCUUAAUGAAACUGAUUCAAGCAUUCGUUCAGAGUUGACAACAACGGAUAAGCAUUUUCCCUAUGCCUAAAGCACCAAGACUGUAACAAUGAAAAUGGCUCCCUUUUUAGUGAGAUUAUAUGAGCAAAUGCCCGAACCUGCUCUUUUGACUUGUUCGUCUCGUCUUCCAGCUCAAACUAGCCAGGACUCCUAUUCCGGGUAGUGUUUUUUGAAGUCUUUUGAUCAUUUUUAUAAAAUGUUAGUAUUUUGUAACUGACGAGUCGAAAAAUUUGAACCGCCAGUUGAAUUAGUGACUCAUGUUCUUGGUUUAACGACUGUUUAAACAAGUAAUUAUCUUAAAUGGCUGCAGUUUAUUGACCAUUGCUGUCCCUUUUAACUUUGCUAUCUUCUACUAAGACUAUCCACCACCCUUUCUCACGUAAAAAGUUGUAGUGUUGAAGACUUUAAAUAAGUCAGUAGUAAAAUAUGUACGCCUGGAGGAAGGUGAAGGAAAUAAUGAUGAUAAAGAAGAAAAAAUUAUAGAGCUGUCAUCCAGAUCUUGAACAUUUUUCACGCCAAUACCCAGUCUGACAGCUUGACCCUAUUCUGACUUAUUCUUGAAGGGUCUAACAAAAGAACUUCUUAUGUUUGCCUAGUAAACAUGGAUUGAAAAUAGAUUAAAUCAAAUUUAACUAUUUAUUUUUUUCUCCCAAAAUAAGUUUUCAAUUUUUGAAUGUUAUCCGAUUUGCCAUAAAUUGGUUUCUAUAAGGUUUUUAUUCAUGUUUUGUAGAUUGAUAGGUCCCAGUUAGAAGCUGAUAUUCACACUGAAUUUAGAAUUCUCUUAGGGUGAGAACAGGGCCACAAUUUGCUGAAUUGAAUGCUUGAUUCUUUAUUGCAACUGAAAAUGUGGUUUAUAUAAGCAAAGCCUAACAAGCAUGUUCAACUUACGUGUAGAAAUAAAUGGCCUGGUACUUCCUAAGAAAUAGGUAACAGAGCAGUAAUGCAAAACAGAAUAAACGUGCAAACGGAAAUGUAAGACUGAAUGCUAAACAUAAUGCAAAUAAAUCUCUAGCGUUCUAGGCUUCAACAGGUCGUGGACUUGGCAUUCUUCUGUAGUCCUCUGCUUGACCUUCGUGAUUUAUCAUAGAUGCGUAGUGCAUUGAAAAUAAUGGAACUGGGAAACUCGUUGCAAGAAAUAAAACAUUACCUUGUGCUAGUGCAAUUUGGAAAGGCAUCCGAUUGGGGCUUUAUCCAAUUCACAUCCUGCAGUAUAGGUCAAUGGGGGAACUGAACUUUGUUACUUGAAAAAACUACGAACCCAAGAGUUAGCUUCCAUAGAUUUGUUUAUUUAGUUCAAUUUCUGCUAGUAAAGUUCAUUUUUUUCAUAUAAUGCAGUGUUUAGGUUCUGAAAGAAUAUUGUAGGUUACAUAGCGCAUUCCAAUUAAUUGGGGACUUCUUAUUUAAAUCACAUAUGAAAAUUUUGAAGGUUGUAUCUUGUAUAAUUGAAGAUGAUGCUUUACAAUUAUAUGCUAACAAUUG